rnacentral:rRNA from 1 species
UUCGAUUCUGGCUCAGGACGAACGCUGGCGGCAUGCCUAACACAUGCAAGUCGAACGGGGGGUAGCAAUACCCUAGUGGCGAACGGGUGAGUAACACAUAAGCAAUCUGCCCUUCACAGGGGGAUAACAGCGGGAAACUGCUGCUAAUACCGCAUAAGACCACGGUACCGCAUGGUACAGGGGUAAAAACGAAUCAGUGGUGAAGGAUGAGCUUAUGUCCCAUUAGCUAGUUGGUGAGAUAACAGCCCACCAAGGCGACGAUGGGUAGCCGACCUGAGAGGGUGAUCGGCCACACUGGAACUGAGACACGGUCCAGACUCCUACGGGAGGCAGCAGUGGGGAAUAUUGGGCAAUGGAGGAAAAACCUCUUACCCAGCAAUGCCGCGUGAGUGAAGAAGGUCUUCGGAUUGUAAAGCUCUUUGAUUGGGGACGGAGAAAGUGACGGUACCCAAAGAACAAGCCCCGGCUAACUACGUGCCAGCCGCUGC